GAAGAACUUGUAUGUGAGCAACUAAUUUCCACUUGCAUGUGGGAGAAAGAACAAACACAAUGAGUGAUGUUCACCAAGGAGUCAGUGGCUUGCCCUGUUUGACGUAAGGAUCUAUUGAUUUGGGCUUUGGAAGAUUUGUAGGAAGCAAUCAAGAGGUGAUCCUGCUGGUGUUUGCAGUGCAGGGUCAGGCAGAGUGCAACCUGAACCUUUGUGAUGGCAGCCCUGCAUCUGCAGUCACAGGAAAGGCCAAUGGCUAUGGACACAUUUAAACUAAACCAACUGAUGUGUUCAGAUUUUCUUAUCCUGGGCUGAAUAAUUGUAGCAUUAAUGUAAUUUUUAAUGUAGGUUUUCUCAAAAGAUCACAGUGUUCAUCAUGUUCACCUUGUGUAAAUUCAGUGUCAUACAUCACUGAGCACCAGUGACGUCUGUGUGUGUUUGUCAGUAUUUAUGCAAUGACACAUAGGAUCCAUAUAUAGUAUGUGCACACGUAUCCAUGUGUAAAGAAACACACUGAAUUCAGUGCACAUCAAUCAGGGUCCAGCAAAUAGCCUCCUUGACCUCUAGGGAUGCCCUCGAAAACAUCUGACUCCUUUUCUACUAAAUGCAUGAACACACACACACACACACACACACACACACACACACACACACACACACACACACACACACACACACACACACACAUACAUAUGAAUGGAUCAUGUUGUGAUCAGAUAGAAGGCAGCUUGUUUGAAUUAAGUUUAUGGUUUAUUAAGGUGAAAGGACCUGGAGUUGGUCCCUUCAGGCUGAUCUAAAAUGCCAAGGACCAAAGAGAGCCUGUGCAAGAGGUCACUGACACCAUGAUCAGCUUUCAAAAAAUGCUCAUGAGCUUUGGUACCUGCUUAAGUCCUUCCACAGUCACAAGUGUAUGGGCUCUUCCAUUAUGCAAGAGGAAACCCUGUGGAAAUGCUCCCAGUGCAUCAAAGAACUGACACAGCUCGGUAUGAUGUUAAUUAUCAUAGUGGCACAUCAAUGUCAUGAACACUCAAAUUGACAACAUUAUUGUGUGUUGCAUGCUUAUUUAUUAGAGAUUUAUAACUCAGACCAGAAUAGAAUAGAGUAGAAUAGAACUGGGCAUUCUCAUACACAUUACAUACAGUGCACAGAGAGACACAUUUCCAUUGCCUCUUGCCUGUUUCCAUGGAGACAGUAGUGAGCUGUUUCUUUCCACUAGGAUCAAACCAUCUGAUUUGAUCACAAUACAUACACACUCUUGCAUGCACGCACAGUGUAAGGUGAUACAUAUUUCAUUUCAUUCAUAUUUCAUUUAUUUUAAUUUACCAUAUUGGUCUGUACUACAAUGACGUUAUAAUCUCAUACUUAGAGUUUAUCCCUAUAUGUGCAAGGUUAAUUAUAAUCAUCACUCUACUGGUGUAAUGUAGAUAACUGAUUGUCUAUUGGUCUCUAUGUAAGUCUCUCAUUUGCUAAUUUCUGCAAUACUUUCUUAUCUCCAGAUCCCUGCAUUUAUUUAUUUAUUUUAAAAUUUGAAUUGCUGUUAUCAGAGGUCAUGACACUAUCAUGCAGUAGGAUGGUCUAAGAGACUGACAGUUUUCUCCCUAGUGUCUUAAGCAACAGCACAACUUUCACUUCCUCGUCCACCAGUGCCGUGUGCAGCCAGUAAUCGCUAUGACUCUGUUAAGGUUCAGAGCAGAUCGCUGUUAUGAUUCUUUUUGAUGUCCUCUGGACAAUUACUGUCCUGUUUUUAUCUGCGUCUCUUAAACAUGCAAUAAUGCACAAUAUAUAUUCAGGUACAUUCAAUAAAAAAAUGAAAUUGCCUAAAUUUAUCUUUGGUGACCUGUUUUAUCCUAAAGUCUCUCUUUUUCCUUCUCUAUUCUGUUCUCAU